UAGGGAAUCUUCGGCAAUGGGGGCAACCCUGACCGAGCAACGCCGCGUGAGUGAAGAAGGUUUUCGGAUCGUAAAGCUCUGUUGUAAGAGAAGAACGUGUGUGAGAGUGGAAAGUUCACACAGUGACGGUAACUUACCAGAAAGGGACGGCUAACUACGUGCCAGCAGCCGCGGUAAUACGUAGGUCCCGAGCUUUGUCCGGAUUUAUUGGGCGUAAAGCGAGCGCAGGCGGUUUAAUAAGUCUGAAGUUAAAGGCAGUGGCUUAACCAUUGUUCGCUUUGGAAACUGUUAAACUUGAGUGCAGAAGGGGAGAGUGGAAUUCCAUGUGUAGCGGUGAAAUGCGUAGAUAUAUGGAGGAACACCGGUGGCGAAAGCGGCUCUCUGGUCUGUAACUGACGCUGAGGCUCGAAAGCGUGGGGAGCAAACAGG
rnacentral:rRNA from 1 species